rnacentral:rRNA from 1 species
GAUCAUGGCUCAGGAUGAACGCUAGCUACAGGCUUAACACAUGCAAGUCGAGGGGCAGCAUGGUCUUAGCUUGCUAAGACUGAUGGCGACCGGCGCACGGGUGAGUAACGCGUAUCCAACCUGCCCAUCACUUGGGAAUAACCUUGCGAAAGUAAGACUAAUACCCAAUGAUAUCCCACGAAGGCAUCCGAAUGGGAUUAAAGAUUUAUCGGUGAUGGAUGGGGAUGCGU